CAGACAAACACCAUCGCUGCAACUCACAGGAUCCCCACCAGCACCCUACUACCUAGGAGGAGUGGAAUGUGGAUUUUUGUAAAUGAAAGUGGAUUACAGUAAAUUACAAGCAUCAUGCGGCCUUGUUUCUGAUAACUAGAUGCCACAUCGGAUGUCACAGCACCGCUCAGCCAUUCACCGGCCACAGUGGUGUCCUGCCUCAGCCAGUGAUUGCAGGCAGCACUGUCAGUUAUGUCAGCUGAAGACACUACAAUCAGCAGCUAAGGUAAAAGUGCCAUCGGCAGGCGCAGCAUCUUGAUAGUGGAGGUGAUGAGUGAGUUAAAGUGUAUGUUAUUUUAUUAGGCAGUGUGCACAUAUCGGAAUCACAAUAUUUACCUCUAUAAUCACAAUGAAGGAGAUUUUUCAUUCUAUUUAAACGUUUGGCUUUUAUAUGACAAUUUUUUUUUACUUACUUUUGCUUACAUGCGACCUACUUAUCAAAUAGUCACACAAUUUGAUAAAUAAAUCGCAUGUAAGCAAAAACCGGGAAACCCGCUUACAAAAGCAUUUUUUUAAGCAGAAAAGUUU